GUCAGCAGCCGCGGUAAUACCGGCGGCUCGAGUGGUGGCCACUUUAUUGGGCUUAAAGCGUUCGUAGCUGGGUUAUUAAGUCCCUUGGGAAAUCCGACAGCUUAACUGUCGGGCGUCUAAGAGAUACUGGUAAUCUUGGAACCGGGAGAGGUGAGGGGGUACUUCGGGGGUAGGAGUGAAAUCCUGUAAUCCUCGAGGGACCACCUGUGGCGAAGGCGCCUCACCAGAACGGCUUCGACAGUGAGGGACGAAAGCUGGGGGAGCAAACCGGAUUAGAUACCCGGGUAGUCCCAGCCGUAAACGAUGUGCGUUAGGUGUAUCGGUGACCACGAGUCACCGAGGUGCCGAAGGGAAACCGUGAAACGUACCGCCUGGGAAGUACGGUCGCAAGGCUGAAACUUAAGGAAUUGGCGGGGGAGCACCACAACAGGUGGAGCCUGCCGGUUUAAUUGGACUCAACGCCGGAAAUCUCACCGGAUAAGACAGCAGAAUGAUUGCCGGGCUGAAGACUCUGCGUGACUAGCUGAGGAGUGGUGCAUGG
rnacentral:rRNA from 1 species